rnacentral:rRNA from 1 species
CGUAGGUGGUUGCGUCAGUCGGAUGUGAAAUCCCCAGGCUUAACCUGGGAACUGCAUCCGAUACUGCGUGACUCGAGUGCAGCAGAGGGAAACGGAAUUCCUGGUGUAGAGGUGAAAUUCGUAGAUAUCAGGAGGAACACCGGUGGCGAAGGCGGUUUCCUGGGCUGACACUGACACUGAGGCGCGAAAGCGUGGGUAGCAAACAGGAUUAGAUACCCUGGUAGUCCACGCUGUAAACGGUGAGUGCUGGGUGUGGGAGGUGUAAUGCCUUCUGUGCCGAAGCUAACGCGUUAAGCACUCCGCCUGGGGAGUACGGCCGCAAGGUUGAA